rnacentral:rRNA from 1 species
UACGGAGGGUGCAAGCGUUGCUCGGAAUCAUUGGGCGUAAAGCGCGUGUAGGCGGCUUUGCAAGUCUGGUGUGAAAUCCCGGGGCUCAACCCCGGAAGUGCAUUGGAUACUGCUUAGCUAGAGGACGAGAGAGGAUGGUGGAAUUCCUGGUGUAGGGGUGAAAUCCGUAGAUAUCAGGAGGAACAUCAGUGGCGAAGGCGGCCAUCUGGCUCGUAUCUGACGCUGAGACGCGAAAGCGUGGGGAGCAAACAGGG